CCGCCGUCAAGGAGGUACACCUCGGGGUAGGUCAAGGCCGGAUAGUUAGCCUCGUUCUGGGCACGGUCUUGGGUCCUGAGGAAACGCAUCCUGGUAAGAGAAGAUUGUUGACAUACACACACCAUAUUAAUAACAGCUAGUAUCUAAUAAGCUUACAUUUUCGGGCCUCUCUCAGAAGAAAAUUCACAAUGGAAGAUGAGAAUGUUUCUCUUUCCUAUGACGUCACAACUCUGUAUCUCGUGAAGCAGCUGCUGUACCUGGUCACGCGUGUACUUGUUCUCCGCGUGCUGUAACAAAUAAAUAAAAUCGUUGAAAAAAUCA